AGGGUGAACCCUGCGGCAGGAUCAUU
rnacentral:rRNA from 1 species